GGGGCCCCGCCGGCCUUUGCACAGGAUGUGACCCCCCCUUUUAGAGGAUGUGACCCCCCCUUUGCACAGGACGUGACCCCCCGGUGGAGAAACACGGCCCGAGGCAGGACACGAGUGUCACCCCCACGUGCCGCUGUCCCCUCUCGUGUCACCUCUCGUGUCACCUCCCGGGCACGGAGCCCGGGAGCUCAUCCGGGGGGUGUCACACUCGUGUGUGUGUGUGUCACACACACACACACCCCCCCCCGGUGAGGCCUCGUGCGCCCGAGCACCAGCGUUUCCUCGUGCGCCGUCCUCGUGCCGGGGGACACGUCCUGCCCUGCCCUCAGCGGCGCCAGGCGGGCCCUGGCACGAUCAUGGUGAGCUCCGGGCUCCUUCGCACACUCAUUGGGAGUUCCGGAGUCCUUUGCACGCUCAUCGUGAGCUCCGGGCUCCGUCGCACGCUCAUUGUGAGUUCCAGAGUCCUUUGCAUGCUCAUUGUGAGCUCCAGACUCGAUUACACACUCGCUCCAGGCUCCAUUGCACACUCAUCGUGAGCUCCAAGCUUUAUUGCACGCUCAUCGUGAGCUCCAGACUCCAUUGCACGCCCACUGUGAGCUCCAAGCCCCCUUUACAUGCCCACCACGAGCUCCAAGCCCCCUUUGCACACCCUCCGUGAUCCUCUUUGCCCCCCCCCUGUGAUCCCCCACCCCCCUUUGCCCGCCCUCCACAAGCUCCAAGCCCCCUUUGCACGCCCGCCACGAGCUCCAAGCCCCCCUUUGCACGCCCACUGUGAUCACACACACCCCCUUGCACACCCUCCACGAGCUCCAAGCCCCCUUUGCACACCCACCGUGAGCUCCAAGCCCCCUUUGCACGCCCACCGUGAGCUCCAAGCUCCCUUUGCACACCCACUGUGAUCACACACACCCCUUUGCAUGCCCGCCACAAGCUCCAAGCCCCCUUUGCACACCCGCCACAAGCUCCACGCCCCC
rnacentral:lncRNA from 1 species